rnacentral:rRNA from 1 species
UACGUAGGGGGCAAGCGUUGUCCGGAAUCAUUGGGCGUAAAGAGCGUGUAGGCGGUUCGGUAAGUCGGCUGUGAAAGUCCAGGGCUCAACCCUGGGAUGCCGGUCGAUACUGCCGGACUAGAGUUCGGAAGAGGCGAGUGGAAUUCCCGGUGUAGUGGUGAAAUGCGUAGAGAUCGGCAGGAACACCCAGGGGGAAACCAGCCGACUGGGCAAGUGCUGACGCUGAGGUGCGAGAGCGUGGGGAGCGAACCGG